UUAGGGGUGCCAGAGGUAUAUGGGGUUGGUUUAGGACCAGUUGACGGUCGUUAAGACCCUCUUGCG
rnacentral:tRNA from 1 species